CCGGCGGGGGAGCAGUGCAGAGUGACUCAAGACUUCUUCUGAUCCUGAGCAACUCUGAAGCUUGGAGCUGGGCAAAGGGGCUGGAGGUGUGGGACGAGUGUCAUUCCCAGAAGACAGCUAAGCAGGGCCUGACCCCAAAGCAAACAUGCCCGCAGUCGGGGGGAUUUGGGGAACACGAGGCACCAGCACACACAGAACCUGUGACAGCCGCCUGGAAGACAGCCGGCUUCAUUUAGAGUUUUAAACACCAGAGUCCCUUCCACCAUGCGUUAUCUCAUUCAAGCCUCCACACAAUCCCAGAGAGCGAAGAUCAAAGCAGAAUGUGCGCUGUGGUCUGCCGGCCAAUGUGCACAGGGAACCAGGUCCAACUAUGCCUGGAUGCUGGGAGUGGAGGAGGGACCGCCCUGGACCAAACAGAGAGAAGACGACACUCCCAGGACCUGCUUGAUCGUCCUCUGGCCUCACUUGGGUACACUUCUGGCUUCUUCCAGAUUAGAUAGGCUCCCAGCCUGCCAGCGACCAGUCUGUUGGGCUUAAUGAGAGCCGAAGAUGAGGGCAAUAUGGGGGUUCUCACUGGGCACGAGUGCAGUCGAGACUUCCACUCCCUGUGCCUGGCAUCUCUAUGACCACAACCUCUGGAGCUCAGAGACUGCACGGUACAGCUACCCCUACUGCCCAGGGACUCCUCACAAUAUCUGGAAGUAACAAUAGUACUAAUUUCCAUUUACUGAGUGCUUAUGAUUUGCCAUAAA